UGGGGAAUAUUGCACAAUGGGCGCAAGCCUGAUGCAGCAACGCCGCGUGAGGGACGACGGCCUUCGGGUUGUAAACCUCUUUUAGUAGGGAAGAAGCGAAAGUGACGGUACCUGCAGAAAAAGCACCGGCUAACUACGUGCCAGCAGCCGCGGUAAUACGUAGGGUGCGAGCGUUGUCCGGAAUUAUUGGGCGUAAAGAGCUCGUAGGCGGUCUGUCGCGUCUGCUGUGAAAACCCGAGGCUCAACCUCGGGCCUGCAGUGGGUACGGGCAGACUAGAGUGCGGUAGGGGAGAAUGGAAUUCCUGGUGUAGCGGUGGAAUGCGCAGAUAUCAGGAGGAACACCGAUGGCGAAGGCAGUUCUCUGGGCCGUAACUGACGCUGAGGAGCGAAAGCGUGGGGAGCGAACAGGAUUAGAUACCCUGGUAGUCCACGCCGUAAACGUUGGGCGCUAGAUGUGGGGACCAUUCCACGGUUUCCGUGUCGCAGCUAACGCAUUAAGCGCCCGCCUGGGGAGUAC
rnacentral:rRNA from 1 species